UACCCCGGGGAUAACAGAGUCGUCACCGGCAAGAGCACAUAUCGACCCGGUGGCUUGCUACCUCGAUGUCGGUUCUCUCCAUCCUGGCCGUGCAGCAGCGGCCAAGGGUGAGGUUGUUCGCCUAUUAAAGGAGAUCGUGAGCUGGGUUUAGACCGUCGUGAGACAGGUCGGUUACUAUCUGUCAGGGGUGUUCUGCGGUCUGAGGGCAGGCUGGCUUUAGUACGAGAGGAACAAGCCAGCGGCGCCACUGGUCGAUCGGUUGUCUGGCAAGGCACCGCCGAGCAGCUACGCGCUAACGGGAUAAGGGCUGAAAGCAUCUAAGCCCGAAACCCAACCCGAAAAGAGACCGCUCCAAGGGCCCUCGUAAAAGACGAGAUCGAUAGAGUCGGGGUGUACGCACCAAGGCAACGAGGUGCUCAGCCCGCGACCACUAACCGCCCAAGCAGCCGUCCCG
rnacentral:rRNA from 1 species